rnacentral:rRNA from 1 species
AUUGAACGCUGGCGGCAGGCUUAACACAUGCAAGUCGAGCGGGGUGAUGGUGCUUGCACUAUCACUUAGCGGCGGACGGGUGAGUAAUGCUUAGGAAUCUGCCUAUUAGUGGGGGACAACAUCUCGAAAGGGAUGCUAAUACCGCAUACGUCCUACGGGAGAAGGCAGGGGAUCACUUGUGACCUUGCGCUAAUAGAUGAGCCUAAGUCGGAUUAGCUAGUUGGUGGGGUAAAGGCCUACCAAGGCGACGAUCUGUAGCGGGUCUGAGAGGAUGAUCCGCCACACUGGGACUGAGACACGGCCCAGACUCCUACGGGAGGCAGCAGUGGGGAAUAUUGGACAAUGGGGGGAACCCUGAUCCAGCUAUGCCGCGUGUGUGAAGAAGGCCUUAUGGUUGUAAAGCACUUUAAGCGAGGAGGAGGCUCUUUUGGUUAAUACCCAAGAUGAGUGGACGUUACUCGCAGAAUAAGCACCGGCUAACUCUGUGCCAGCAGCCGCAGUAA